UACGUAGGGUGCAAGCGUUAAUCGGAGUUACUGGGCGUAAAGCGUGCGCAGGCGGUCCGCUAAGACAGAUGUGAAAUCCCCGGGCUUAACCUGGGAACUGCAUUUGUGACUGGCGGGCUAGAGUAUGGCAGAGGGGGGUAGAAUUCCACGUGUAGCAGUGAAAUGCGUAGAGAUGUGGAGGAAUACCGAUGGCGAAGGCAGCCCCCUGGGCCAAUACUGACGCUCAUGCACGAAAGCGUGGGGAGCAAACAGG
rnacentral:rRNA from 1 species